rnacentral:lncRNA from 1 species
AGAGUAUAGCAGAGGCAGGGUGUAAACUCUGCUCCUCAGCCUGCUCAAUCCUCAACUCACCUUACCAGUCGGUUAUGAGGAAGAAAGUUUCUAGUUCCUUUAACUUCCCAGAGAACUCUGCGCAAAGCAGAAAGAAAAACAUUGCUGAACAUUGCCACAAUGCUGAUUGAUGAAUAGUCGGCCUGAUGGUUAAUAUUGAGUGUCAACUCGAUCAGAUUGAAGGAUGAAAAGUUUUGUUCCUGGGUGUGUCUGUGAGGGUGUUGCCAAAGGAGAUUAACAUUUGAGUCAGUGGAUUGGGAGAGGCAGACCCACCCUCAAUCUGGGUGGGUCUAAUCAGCUGCCAGUGUGGCUAGAAUAAAAUCAAGCAGAAGAAUGUGGAAAUGCUAGACUGGCUGAGUCUUCCGGCCAUCUUUCUCCCGUGCUGGGUGCUUCCUGCCCUCAAACAUUGGACUCCAAGUUCUUCAGCUUUUGGACUCUUGGAUUUACACCAGUGGUUCGCCAGGGGCUCUAGGGCCUUCAGCCACAGACUGAAGGCUGCCCUGUCGGCUUCCCUAUUUUUGAGGUUUUGGGACUUGGACUGGCUUCCUUGCUCCUCAGCUUGCAGAUAGCCUACUGUGGGACUUCACCUUGUGAUCGUCCAUCCCUUUAUCUGGCUUUCAUUAGAGCCUCGGCCGCGCCUCUUUUGUGGGAGAGACUUGAGGGAGCCGAGGCAGUUUCCCAGCCGCUGUGAUGUUGCUAAAGAUUAAAAAGGAGCUUUGAAGCUGCACCAGUUCUCUCUGUGCCCCCUCGGUACAGGACCUCAGAAAGACCCAAGCCAUCUGGCAAACCUGACAUAAAGACAAAAUAAAGUGAUUGAAACAGUCUCUUCAAAGCCACAAUGGCAGAUUUGUUGAUUUGGGCGU